CCAUAACUAACAACAUCAAUCAUAAAGCAGUUGCAAAUUGCAAACUUCACCAGAUAGCUUGUCCUCUGAGUUACUUGAAAGUAUUAGUACUCUGAAGAAAGGGAAAAAGGUAAAUCCAAGUCCUAUUGCCCUGGAGCCAUGUUGUGGCAACCGUGCAGCCGUCCUCUCACUCCUGGUGCAGCUACCCACUGGCACGGAGUCUUAUACUCCACUAGGUCAUCCAGGUGGUUUGGCUAUAGCCAGCGCAUUAGUUACACUUGGCAAUCCUAGAAAGAGUAGUACAGACCCCAUAGCUUUAACCAAGGGGGACAUUAGCAAGACAAAAGCAGUGAGAGGAAAGCAGUCUUAUUCCAGCCAUUCUCCUGACACUUGUAUUUAGCACCUGCCUACUCACCCUCCAGU